rnacentral:rRNA from 1 species
UACGUAGGGUCCGAGCGUUGUCCGGAAUUAUUGGGCGUAAAGAGCUCGUAGGCGGUUUGUCGCGUCUGCUGUGAGAACCUAAGGCUCAACCUUGGGCUUGCAGUGGGUACGGGCAGACUAGAGUGCGGUAGGGGUGACUGGAAUUCCUGGUGUAGCGGUGGAAUGCGCAGAUAUCAGGAGGAACACCGAUGGCGAAGGCAGGUCACUGGGCCGCAACUGACGCUGAGGAGCGAAAGCAUGGGGAGCGAACAGG